rnacentral:lncRNA from 1 species
UAAUACAAACAACCAAUCUUUCAGAGUUAUAUUGCAAUAGCAAACAUGAGCAGUCUCCAGGCAAUUUCAAAUACUUGUGCUUGCUUUUCCGUUGCUAAUCUAGCUCUACUGCUAUGUUAUCUCUGCCUACACUUCGUGUUAUUGUGCUAUCCUAAUGAUUAUUCAUGACAUGUGGUCAACAUGACAUCAUUACAUGAGACAUACAUACAGACUUCUGGCAACCAUACCCUCUCUCUUUCUCUCUAAUAAUCAUCAAAAUAUAGGAACACAUCUAGUUGAUGCUGCACUGAUUUAUAUGAACAUCGCUUUCUCUACCUCCUCCAAAAUCUGAAAUAUGUAGAUGUUAGAAAGCAGCUAAUUUGUAUAUAUAGGACGAUAUUAAGAAAAGGAAAAAGGAGUAGCAAGAACAGCUUCAUAUGUAUCAGCCAUUACAAACUUCAAUAUAUCUAUAUUUGCAUAUCGCAAACUAUCACAAGAGAAUAGUAGUAUUUUAACUUAUUAGCUGUUCCAUGGAACAAUUUCUCUGGACGUCCUUGCUUCAAAGUUCUCAAAAUCUCUAGCCUUGACAAGGAGGUGUACUAAAAAUUCUCACAAAUAACCAAAAAUGAAAACAAAGGUGUAUCAAGACAGGGAUUUCUGUUUGACAAAGUAGUUACCACUCUCUAAACCUUACUGCAGGAAUACGGUCAUGAACUCCUCCCCAACGAUCUCUCUGAAACCAAACACUCCUAUGUUGGUCGUCCUGCUCGCCUGCGUGUCAAUCAAGAAAACAUGGGACCUUUAGAUCAGCUCAGGAUCACAUAUAAAGAAAUGACCAGCCAUUGACUUGUGCAUGUCUACCAAGAACAAAGAAGAAGAAAUAAUAAAUUGAUGAAGGUCAACGGCUGGGCUAUUUUCCAUUACACCACACAUAAAUAAGUAUACUUGGGGAAUCAAGACAUCUAGCAGCUUCUAGUCCAUACAAUAGCAACAUCCAACAGUUUGAAAUCUCUCCCUCAACAUUAUCUACCACGUAGGUAGCAAGGAAAGCAAACAACAUAUCCCAAAAAAUUGUGUUUCUCUUGAACAAUUUCCCUCGCUUGUUCUCUCUGGAGAUAGCCU